rnacentral:rRNA from 1 species
AACGCAUGCAAGUCGAGCGGAAACGAGUUAUCUGAACCUUCGGGGAACGAUAACGGCGUCGAGCGGCGGACGGGUGAGUAAUGCCUAGGAAAUUGCCCUGAUGUGGGGGAUAACCAUUGGAAACGAUGGCUAAUACCGCAUGAUGCCUACGGGCCAAAGAGGGGGACCUUCGGGCCUCUCGCGUCAGGAUAUGCCUAGGUGGGAUUAGCUAGUUGGUGAGGUAAGGGCUCACCAAGGCGACGAUCCCUAGCUGGUCUGAGAGGAUGAUCAGCCACACUGGAACUGAGACACGGUCCAGACUCCUACGGGAGGCAGCAGUGGGGAAUAUUGCACAAUGGGCGCAAGCCUGAUGCAGCCAUGCCGCGUGUAUGAAGAAGGCCUUCGGGUUGUAAAGUACUUUCAGUCGUGAGGAAGGCGUUGUCGUUAAUAGCGGCAUCGUUUGACGUUAGCGACAGAAGAAGCACCGGCUAACUCCGUGCCAACAGCCGCGGUAAUACGGAGGGUGCGAGCGUUAAUCGGAAUUACUGGGCGUAAAGCGCAUGCAGGUGGUUUGUUAAGUCAGAUGUGAAAGCCCGGGGCUCAACCUCGGAAUAGCAUUUGAAACUGGCAGACUAGAGUNCUGUAGAGGGGGGUAGAAUUUCAGGUGUAGCGGUGAAAUGCGUAGAGAUCUGAAGGAAUACCAGUUGCGAAGG